UUGGGCACUAGGUGUGGGGACCAUUCCACGGUUUCCGCGCCGCAGCUAACGCAUUAAGUGCCCCGCCUGGGGAGUACGGCCGCAAGGCUAAAACUCAAAGGAAUUGACGGGGGCCCGCACAAGCGGCGGAGCAUGCGGAUUAAUUCGAUGCAACGCGAAGAACCUUACCAAGGCUUGACAUGUUCUCGAUCGCCGUAGAGAUACGGUUUCCCCUUUGGGGCGGGUUCACAGGUGGUGCAUGGUUGUCGUCAGCUCGUGUCGUGAGAUGUUGGGUUAAGUCCCGCAACGAGCGCAACCCUCGUUCCAUGUUGCCAGCACGUAAUGGUGGGGACUCAUGGGAGACUGCCGGGGUCAACUCGGAGGAAGGUGAGGACGACGUCAAAUCAUCAUGCCCCUUAUGUCUUGGGCUUCACGCAUGCUACAAUGGCCGGUACAAUGGGUUGCGAUACUGUGAGGUGGAGCUAAUCCCAAAAAGCCGGUCUCAGUUCGGAUUGGGGUCUGCAACUCGACCCCAUGAAGUCGGAGUCGCUAGUAAUCGCAGAUCAGCAACGCUGCGGUGAAUACGUUCCCGGGCCUUGUACACACCGCCCGUCAAGUCACGAAAGUCGGUAACACCCGAAGCCGGUGGCCUAACCCUUGUGGGGGGAGCCGUCG
rnacentral:rRNA from 1 species